UACAGAGUCAGAUGUCUUCUUGGGAUAUUUCUUUUCAAAUAUCUAAUGCUACCUAUAAAGAACAAACCUUUUCAUAUACAGAACUUGAGAAAAUGGCUCCCUUUGGAUUAAAGGAAGGGGUUGAAUAGACAUGUGCAAUUUUUUCCAACACAACAAAGGAGGUGGUUCCUGGAGAUUCAGGGAUGGAACUUGGGAAGAGAACUCUGCAGGGUAUAAUACCAUAGAAUCUACCCUCAAAAACUGCUGGUUAUUUUCCUUGAGAGCUGAUCUGUGAAAUCUGGAGGACUGCUUCGGAAGUUACAACUUGUCUUGAAAGCAGCUGCAUGGGUCCUUAUGGUGACACCGUGGACAGGACAAAGCCAACUAGGACUUCAUCAGCUGCACUGGUUCCAAAUGGAAUACCAUGUCAGAUUCAAGGUGAAUUCUAGCAUUCUAAUCCCUUCUAACAUUAAAAUACUAGCAUUCAAACCCCUAAAUCAGUGGUUCCCAAACUUUUUCAGGAUGCCACCCCUUUGGCUCCCAAGCCACAUCCCUAAUGUGCACCCCCCCUCCAAAAAAAUAUACAAACACACACCCUUUUCCUUGGUGUUAGGUCUACUGCAAAUUCAAACAAAUUCUAACACUGUAAAUGCCACGUGUAUUUCACAAAUAAAACAUGACCUAGUAAAAGUAUGUUUUUUGCCAUACUUAAAGGGUAUGUUUGCAUCUAACUUGUUAUGUCUUCAUAGUUUCAAUGACAUGGAUGUGCUUGGUGUAGGGAUAUCAGUUUCUCAAUAUCAGGCUGCAAGGCACUAAGAAGUAGUCUUGGAUCCCCAAAUGCAAUAAUUUUCAGCCUGUUUCUCUGCUUGGAAAGAAGCUGGAUGAUUGCACUGAAGUCUUGCUCUACUAAAAAUUUUGUUGAGAAGGCAAUAAAGUACAUCUUAUCCCACAGAAAUGAGACCUAGGCUUUGCCAGAUUUGCUUCAGUUCCAUAGGACCUGUAUGCUGUUCCACAAGGCCUAUGGUUAAAGGCAGUAAUGGGUUUCCACUGGCCCCCCUUUCUCUGCCUUUGCCCCUUCUUCCCUUCCCUUGUGUUUGGAUGUUGAUUCAUGCUUAUAUGAUUUUAUGCUUAUAAUUGUUUUCCCAUUGACUUUCACUUAUUAAAGUGGUUAUGUUAAUGCAUUUUAUAUCAGUGGUUGAUUUUAUUGUACAUGUUGGAAUUGUUGUGAGACACCCUGAACACAUUGACAGAGAAGGAAGAUCUAUAAAUCAAAUAAGUAAAUUAAACUCAAUGUUUGAGUUGCA